CAGGAGCUUGCUCUUGGGGAUUAGUGGCGAACGGGUGAGUAACACGUGAGUAACCUGCCCUUGACUCUGGGAUAACCUCCGGAAACGGAAGCUAAUACCGGAUACGAACUGCGAAGGCAUCUUCAGCAGUUGGAAAGAACUUCGGUCAAGGAUGGACUCGCGGCCUAUCAGGUAGUUGGUGAGGUAAAGGCUCACCAAGCCUACGACGGGUAGCCGGCCUGAGAGGGUGACCGGCCACACUGGGACUGAGACACGGCCCAGACUCCUACGGGAGGCAGCAGUGGGGAAUAUUGCACAAUGGGCGCAAGCCUGAUGCAGCAACGCCGCGUGAGGGAUGACGGCCUUCGGGUUGUAAACCUCUUUUAGUAGGGAAGAAGCGAAAGUGACGGUACCUGCAGAAAAAGCACCGGCUAACUACGUGCCAGCAGCCGCGGUAAUACGUAGGGUGCGAGCGUUGUCCGGAAUUAUUGGGCGUAAAGAGCUCGUAGGCGGUCUGUCGCGUCUGCUGUGAAAACCCGAGGCUCAACCUCGGGCCUGCAGUGGGUACGGGCAGACUAGAGUGCGGUAGGGGAGAAUGGAAUUCCUGGUGUAGCGGUGGAAUGCGCAGAUAUCAGGAGGAACACCGAUGGCGAAGGCAGUUCUCUGGGCCGUAACUGACGCUGAGGAGCGAAAGCGUGGGGAGCGAACAGGAUUAGAUACCCUGGUAGUCCACGCCGUAAACGUUGGGCGCUAGAUGUGG
rnacentral:rRNA from 1 species